UACGAAGGGGGCUAGCGUUGCUCGGAAUCACUGGGCGUAAAGGGUGCGUAGGCGGGUCUUUAAGUCAGGGGUGAAAUCCUGGAGCUCAACUCCAGAACUGCCUUUGAUACUGAGGAUCUUGAGUACGGGAGAGGUGAGUGGAACUGCGAGUGUAGAGGUGAAAUUCGUAGAUAUUCGCAAGAACACCAGUGGCGAAGGCGGCUCACUGGCCCGUAACUGACGCUAAGACUCGAAAGCAUGGGUAGCGAACGGG
rnacentral:rRNA from 1 species